UAAUCUACCCUGAUGUCUGGGAUAACCAGCCGAAAGGCUGACUAAUACCGGCUAUAUGCUACCCUGUUGGGGGUAUCAGGAAAGGUGGCCUCUUCUUGAAAGCUAUCGCAUUGGGAUGAGUUUGCGUACCAUUAGCUAGUUGGUGGGGUAAUGGCCUACCAAGGCAUCGAUGGUUAGCGGGUCUGAGAGGAUGAUCCGUCACACUGGCACUGGAACACGGGCCAG
rnacentral:rRNA from 1 species